rnacentral:misc_RNA from 1 species
GAUGAAGAACGCAGCGAAAUGCGAUAAGUAAUGUGAAUUGCAGAAUUCAGUGAAUCAUCGAAUCUUUGAACGCACAUUGCGCCCCCUGGUAUUCCGGGGGGCGUGCCUGUUCGAGCGUCAUUUCACCACUCAAGCCUCGCUUGGUAUUGGGCAACGCGGUCCGCCGCGUGCCUCAAAUCGACCGGCUGGGUCUUCUGUCCCCUAAGCGUUGUGGAAACUAUUCGCUAAAGGGUGUUCGGGAGGCUACGCCGUAAAACAACCCCAUUUCUAAGGUUGACCUCGGAUCAGGUAGGGAUACCCGCUGAACUUAAGCAUAUCAAUAAGCGGAGGA